GGCCUGGUGGUGCAGUGGUCAGCACACGCGGAAUGACACGCAGGGAAACCUGUGCCCUCCGGGGGCUCGCAAGAGCCUGGGUUCGAUUCCCAGGCCAGGCAA